UACGUAGGGGGCGAGCGUUGUCCGGAAUUAUUGGGCGUAAAGAGCGUGUAGGCGGUUCGGUAAGUCUGCCGUGAAAACCCAGGGCUCAACCCUGGGCGUGCGGUGGAUACUGCCGGGCUAGAGGGUGGUAGAGGCGAGUGGAAUUCCCGGUGUAGCGGUGAAAUGCGCAGAUAUCGGGAGGAACACCAGUAGCGAAGGCGGCUCGCUGGGCCACACCUGACGCUGAGACGGCGAAAAGCGGUGGGGAGCAAACAGGAUUAGAU
rnacentral:rRNA from 1 species